rnacentral:miRNA from 12 species
CCCUGCCCGGAUAGACAGUCC